rnacentral:ncRNA from 2 species
CGCAAUCCUUGGGGGCGACCUGGUAUGGGUCUGAGAUGUUUCCUUGCCGGUGGUUAACAGCCAUCUGCGCAGAAGCGGUCCCUUAGAACCUGAUCCGGUUGAUCCCGGCGUAGGAAAAGGUAAGAGUCGACCU